rnacentral:misc_RNA from 1 species
GUUUAUUAUGAGACCAAAUGCAGCAAUAGCAAACAUAAGCUUCCCAUUCACUUUGGCGUUAGUAUGAAACAUUCUCUCAGUUGCUUCAUAAAUCAAAAAACCAGAGAUGAGCCAUAUCAGCUGUACAGAAAUAAGGGCUCCUAAAACUUCAAGUCGGUGAUAUCCAAAAGAGUGUUCUUUGGUUGCAUCCCAGCCAGACACCCAAACAGCAAAAAGCGAAAUAGAA